GAAUUUGUAGACAUCCUGGCAGCUUACAAUUAGUUCGAGGUGAGGGUGCUGACCCAAAUCUGUGUGGACCAGAACGUACCAAAGAGAACUACAACUCUGCUGUUGAUCGCCUCCAGAUUGACAAUACACCAGACGUCGAAGGAGUGAAGUUCAGACACUGAAUUUGAGCAGAAACCAUAAGGAUACUCAAAGGACCUGUGACUCUCAGGAAAUGCAUCAAAUGAGAGGGACAGAUGAAACAGUUUCAAGACAAUGGCAGGAAAAACAUGCUGAAGAUUGAAACAAACCUUGGCUGGAAAUAUUUGAAGGUAUCUAGCCAGUCCACAAUGAAAGCUUCGUUGCACCCCAUGAGUCUUCUGGCAGAAAUGAUGGCGCCUGUAUUCUUUGGUUUCCCUAAACAUCACACCCUGCCUGUUUAUACGAGGCUCUUCAAUUAAGUCUGCACCCAAAGAUUCAAUAAGAGAGGGGAUCCUGCCAGUCCAAAGUGAACUCCUGAUGGACAUUGAAGUACUCCUGCAGAGCUUGUAUCUUCGACACCAUGCGCAUUAGAAACUCCACUGAGUCCUUUCCUUCACCAAGGCAGGACCCAGUGACUCAUUACUGUUGAUAGGUCAGGGCCAGGUAAUAUUUUGUUUCAUGUUUAUUCAUUCCUCUAUGGAUUACCAGCCAUAUAUAUGGACACAUGCUGUAUUCUCAAGAUCUAUGCUGUUUUGUAGGAAUAGAGAAAAUGAUAUGUUUAGUCUGUUUUCAAAUAGUAUGUCAAAUUUUCUCAUUGUUUAUCAGUAAUAUUCACUACCUUGGCUAUAUAUGAGCAUCUUUAGGUUUUUCUAUAUUUAGCGGUUGCAAAUGUAAAAUGUACGGUAAACCAUUUAUGUUCCUCAUAUUGUACUGUAUUUUUAGCGGUAAAAUACCGGCAGCUGUGGUAGCCAGGAAUUUACCGUAAAAUGUAUCUGGUCAAAAUAAAAUGCUGUAAUUUGU